rfam:Oryza barthii chromosome 2, whole genome shotgun sequence.
AAAGACUCAAUAUUUGGGUUUUGAUGUUCAACGUUUAACCGUCCGUUUUAUAUGAAUUUUUUUAUGAUUAGUAUUUUUAUUAUUGUUAGAUAAUAAAAUAUUAAUAAUAUUUUAUGCAUGAUUUAUCUUUUUAAAUUUUUUCAUAACUUUUUCAAAUAAGACGAACGGUCAAACGUUAGUCAUGGAAACUCAGG